rnacentral:rRNA from 1 species
CGGGUGAGUAACACGUAUCCAACCUACCUCAUACUCGGGGAUAGCCUUUCGAAAGAAAGAUUAAUAUCCGAUAGCAUAUAUUUCCCGCAUGGGUUUUAUAUUAAAGAAAUUCGGUAUGAGAUGGGGAUGCGUUCCAUUAGUUUGUUGGGGGGGUAACGGCCCACCAAGACUACGAUGGAUAGGGGUUCUGAGAGGAAGGUCCCCCACAUUGGAACUGAGACACGGUCCAAACUCCUACGGGAGGCAGCAGUGAGGAAUAUUGGUCAAUGGACGCGAGUCUGAACCAGCCAAGUAGCGUGAAGGAUGACUGCCCUAUGGGUUGUAAACUUCUUUUAUAUGGGAAUAAAGUUGUCCACGUGUGGAUUUUUGUAUGUACC